AUUUUGAAUUGUUGUGUUAUCAUACAAAUGUUGUAAAAGAUGAUGAACCUCAGUUCAAGUGAUGAAGAUUUGGAAGAGAUUGUAGGACUUUUAAAUGUUCCAAAAAAUGCAAAUUUUUUUGAGGAAACUGUGCAACAAUUUAAUAACCAACAAUUUAUACAGAAUUUUAGAUUAAGUAGAGACUUAGCUGUAGAUUUGGCAAAUAAGUAUGAAAGAUCUCAUUUCCACAAUAUUAUGUAAAAUUACUUUUCCUGUU